rnacentral:rRNA from 1 species
UACGUAGGGGGCGAGCGUUAUCCGGAUUUACUGGGCGUAAAGCGCGUUAAGGCGGUUGGCCAAGUUGGUGGUGAAAUCUCAGGGCUCAACCCUGAAACUGCCUCCAAUACUGGUCAGCUAGAGUGCGAGAGAGGAAGGUGGAAUUCCCGGUGUAGUAGUGAAAUGCGUAGAUAUCGGGAGGAACACCAGUGGCGAAGGCGGCCUUCUGGCUCGUAACUGACGCUGUAGCGCGAAAGCGUGGGGAGCGAACGGG